CCUGCCACUAUGGCGGUCUGUCAGUGACUGGCUAUAUUCCAGUGGAGGCACAGAGUGACCCGGCUUUAGGAAACAGAGCUGCCCAAACUAAUGGGCAACUCUGUGCCGAAAAGUCUGGAACACCA